rnacentral:rRNA from 1 species
GGGCGUAAAGCGCACGCAGGCGGUCUGUCAAGUCGGAUGUGAAAUCCCCGGGCUCAACCUGGGAACUGCAUUCGAAACUGGCAGGCUAGAGUCUUGUAGAGGGGGGUAGAAUUCCAGGUGUAGCGGUGAAAUGCGUAGAGAUCUGGAGGAAUACCGGUGGCGAAGGCGGCCCCCUGGACAAAGACUGACGCUCAGGUGCGAAAGCGUGGGGAGCAAACAGGAUUAGAUACCCUGGUAGUCCACGCCGUAAACGAUGUCGAUUUGGAGGUUGUGCCCUUGAGGCGUGGCUUCCGGAGCUAACGCGUUAAAUCGACCGCCUGGGGAGUACGGCCGCAAGGUUAAAACUCAAAUGAAUUGACGGGGGCCCGCACAAGCGGUGGAGCAUGUGGUUUAAUUCGAUGCAACGCGAAGAACCUUACCUGGUCUUGACAUCCACAGAACUUUCCAGAGAUGGAUUGGUGCCUUCGGGAACUGUGAGACAGGUGCUGCAUGGCUGUCGUCAGCUCGUGUUGUGAAAUGUUGGGUUAAGUCCCGCAACGAGCGCAACCCUUAUCC